rnacentral:rRNA from 1 species
UACGUAGGGACCAAGCGUUGUUCGGAUUUACUGGGCGUAAAGGGCGCGUAGGCGGCUUAACAAGUCACUUGUGAAAUCUCCGGGCUUAACUCGGAACGGCCAAGUGAAACUGUCAAGCUAGAGUGCAGAAGGGGCAAUCGGAAUUCUUGAUGUAGCGGUGAAAUGCGUAGAUAUCAAGAGGAACACCUGAGGUGAAGACGGGUUGCUGGGCUGACACUGACGCUGAGGCGCGAAAGCCAGGGGAGCGAACGGG